GAAUACCUGGAGAAAACCUUAAAUCAGAGUGGAGCUUAACUUGGAUUUCAAAGACUGCAUGCUUGAUAGGAGCAGCUGGUCAGCCAAGUGUCUGGCAAGAGCAACAAUGGUGAACAAUCCUCCGGCUGCUACCCCAGAUCAGUAGGACUAAAUGGAACAGAGGCUAGAUCAACAGGAGGGGACCCAGAGCCAGGAAAUAAGCCAACGUUCCUAUCACAAACAAGCAACGCAUCUAUCACUGUAAGAAGCUCCUGGUCCAUCACGCUCAUGUUUACCCUGCCCUGCUGCUAGCAGUUUUCCUGAGGAGAAAAGCCAGCCUGAGUGCUCCCUUCUUGGGGCAGGCAAGAGUUGGUCAGCUCACAAGAGCUUCCUGAGCUCGGUAACUCGCACCUUCACCCCAGCCCCAAGCCUCUGCCAACAAUAAAGACCCAGAUCAUCCCUG